UACGUAGGGGGCGAGCGUUGUCCGGAUUUAUUGGGCGUAAAGAGCUCGUAGGCGGUUUGGCAAGUCGGGUGUGAAAACUCUGGGCUCAACUCGGAGACGCCACUCGAUACUGCCAUGACUUGAGUCCGGUAGGGUGGUGCGGAAUUCCUGGUGUAGCGGUGAAAUGCGCAGAUAUCAGGAGGAACACCAGUAGCGAAGGCGGUUCUCUGGGCCGGAGCCGACGCUCAGGAGCGAAAGCGUGGGGAGCAAACAGG
rnacentral:misc_RNA from 1 species